UAGAGCCCGGGCUCCUCCCGAACAGAGGGUAACUUCCGCGGCUCUCCGAAGCGCGGGGCUUCUACCCCCGUGGGUGGGUGAGGUACCGGCCACCGGCAUGCUCCUCCGCCUGCUCCUGCUGCUUGCGUUGUGCGGUGCGGGCUCCGCUGCCAUGGUGGUCAGCGUCAGCUUGCGGGGAAGCUGGAGGAUCCGCAGCGGGAACGGCACGCUGGAGUUGCCCGCGGAGGUUCCCGGUUGCGUGCACAGCGCCUUGUUCCACCAGAGGCUUAUCCAGGAUCCUUACUACAGAUUUAAUAACCUUAACUACCGAUGGAUCGCCUUGGAUAACUGGACCUAUAUCAAGAAAUUUAAAAUCCCUUCUGACCUGAGCAAAUGGCGUAAAGUAAAGUUGGUUUUUGAAGGCGUCGAUACAGUUACAGUAGUCCUGCUCAAUAAUAUUCCUGUUGGCGAAACAGACAACAUGUUCAGAAGCUAUAGCUUUGAUAUUACACAUGUGGUCCAAGCAGUAAACAUCCUUGAGGUGCAUUUCCAGUCACCAGUGAUAUAUGCGGACCAGAGGAGUAAAGUUCACACUCACUACAGCGUGCCCCCCAACUGCCCUCCGCGUGUGCAGGAUGGCGAAUGCCAUGUCAACUUUAUUCGCAAGGCACAGUGUUCCUUUAGUUGGGACUGGGGGCCUUCCUUUCCUACCCAGGGCAUCUGGAAAGAUGUUAGAAUUGAAGCCUAUAAUAUUUGUCAUCUGAACUACUUCACAUUUACCCCCAUAUAUGAUAAUAAUAUCCAGGAGUGGAAUCUUGAAAUAGAGUCUUCUUUUGAUGUUAUCAGUUCAAAGCCAGUUUUGGGUCAAGCGAUUAUAGCCAUCCCUGAAUUAAAAAUACAACAGACAAACAGCGUUGAACUUCAUCAUGGGGAAAGCAUUGUUAAACUCUUUGUGAAAAUUGACAAGAGUGUUACUAUAGAAACUUGGUGGCCUCAUGGACAUGGAAACCAGACUGGGUACAACAUGACAGUUCUUUUUAAGCUGGAUGGAGGCUUAAGUUUUGAAAAAUCAGCUAAGGUUUAUUUUAGGACAGUGGAACUCAUAGAAGAGCCCAUAAAAGGAUCUCGUGGUCUGAGUUUCUACUUCAAAAUUAAUGGACUUCCAAUAUUUCUGAAAGGCUCGAAUUGGAUUCCCCCAGAUUCAUUCCAGGAUCGAGUAACCUCUGCCUUAUUACGGCUCCUUUUGCAGUCUGUUGUGGAUGCUAACAUGAAUGCUCUCCGGGUUUGGGGAGGAGGAAUUUAUGAGCAGGAUGAAUUCUAUGAACUCUGUGAUGAACUAGGAAUAAUGGUAUGGCAGGAUUUUAUGUUUGCCUGUGCGCUUUACCCAACUGAUCAGGAUUUCAUGGAUUCAGUGAGAGCAGAAGUUGCUUACCAGGUCAGGAGACUGAAAUCUCAUCCCUCCGUCAUCACAUGGAGUGGAAAUAAUGAAAAUGAAGCAGCUUUGAUGUUGAAUUGGUAUGAUAUACAGUCCAGCAACCUGUCCACCUACAUCGAUGAUUAUGUGACACUGUAUGUGAAAAACAUCCGAAGGAUUGUCUUCGAAGGAGACCAGACUCGUCCUUUUAUCACAUCCAGUCCUACAAAUGGGGCUAAAUCCACUGCAGAAGGCUGGCUCUCUAAAAACCCAUAUGACCCGAAUUAUGGUGACGUACAUUUUUAUGACUAUGUUGGUGAUUGCUGGAAUUGGAAAAUUUUCCCGAAAGCUCGAUUUGUAUCUGAAUAUGGAUAUCAGUCCUGGCCUUCCUUCAGUACAUUAGAGAAGGUUUCAUCUAAAGAGGACUGGUCUUAUGAAAGCAAAUUUGCACAUCAUAGACAACAUUUCACAGAUGGUAACUAUAAAAUGCUUCACCAGGCUGAGCUUCAUUUCAAACUCCCCCAAAGUGCAGAUCAAUUACGCAAGUUCAAAGACACUAUUUAUCUUACUCAGGUGAUGCAGGCCCAGUGUGUCAAAACAGAAACUGAAUUCUACCGCCGCAGUCGCAGCGAGAUAGUGCAUGGAGAAGGGCACACCAUGGGGGCGCUUUAUUGGCAGUUGAAUGACAUCUGGCAGGCUCCUUCCUGGUCUUCUCUAGAGUAUGGAGGAAAGUGGAAAAUGCUUCAUUAUUUUGCUCGGCGUUUCUUCGCUCCGCUGUUGCCGGUGGGUUUUGAGAAUGAAGAUGUGUUUUUCAUCUACGGUGUGUCAGACCUUCACUCAGACCACAAGAUGAUGCUCACUGUGAGAGUCCACACAUGGAGUUCCCUGGAGCCCGUGUGCUCUGAGACGACGAAGCCUUUUGUGAUGAAAGCAGGGGAGUCUGCUCUUCUCUAUGAUAAGCCAGUAGCUGAAUUAUUAAGAGGAUGUACAAAUUGUACACGACAAAGCUGUGUGGUUUCCUUUUACCUGUCAACUGCCAGGGAGCUCUUGAGCCCAACCAACUAUCACUUCCUGUCCUCACCAAAGGAGGCCAAGGGGCUCCACAAGGCAAAUAUCACUGCCACCAUCUCUCAGCAAGGGGACACAUUUGUUUUUCAUCUGAAAACCUCAGCUGUUGCUCCCUUUGUUUGGUUGGAUGUAGGAAGCAUCCCAGGGAGAUUCAGUGACAAUGGUUUUCUCAUGACUGAGGAGACACGGACUGUAUUCUUCUACCCUUGGAAACCCACCAAUGAGAGUGAAUUGGAGCGAUCUUUUCAUGUGACUUCACUGGCGGAUAUUUACUGAGGGAAUCCAGGCUGUAUUGGCAGGAGCUGAAGGCAACCAGAAACAAGUUGAAGAGGCCAGGAAACGCGUCUGCUUGCUGUCAGGUGUCUGCAUAACCACUUGGUGAAGAGCUUGUACUAGUGCAUUCUCCCAGGGAAGGCUGUGUACUCAGGUGAUGUCCUCCUCCAACAAAGCUGUGCCUAGGUGCCGUCCAGUCCGCACCAGGACUGUGGUUUUAGCCCAUUUCCCCACAGCUUUUGUACCACAUGAACCAGUUAUAACCCAACUGCCUCUCCAAGCCCCGAAAGGAGGUCUGUCCACGUGCAGCCCUUUAAGGGAAUCACAGGAACUGGAAACAAGACUACAGGAUCACACUCAAGCUCUGUGAAGUCAGCCAGAGGAUUUCUUCAUGAUAACUGCAGCCGGCACUUUCUCAGUCCUUAGAAGACAGAGGUUACUGAAUCCUGCCAUGAAAAGAAAGUAUGCAACAGUGAUGCAGCUGAACUCCUUAGGUCAGGUCUCAGCCUUUGCAUGGGAUUUAUUGAGCACCAGCUUGUGCCAUGUUGUGCUGUGUAUGCAGUGAGUGAGUACAAAGGAUGACAGCAACACCAGAAUGGCCUAGAAAUCUGGGGAAAUGGGGUGUUGGGAUCAUGGAAAUUUCUGGUUGAGAACUGGUACUCAUUCCUGUCUCAUAAUGUAUGUGGGAACAACCCUUUGUUCUUAUUCUGUAAUGUUACUUAUUACAGCUUUUGUAAAAUUUACUGGAUCCUGGGAGACAAUGCACAUGUUCCCUGUAGUUGGAACAGACAUUAUUGGCAGGCCAUCCUACAGCUAUUUCCUCCUGUUCUCUGCUAAUAGAAGUGGCUAUGCAUCCAGCCCCAGGGACUGAAUCAUAGUUGGUUAUACUAAUCCUAUUCUCCUUUGCCAGUGAUUGGUCUAGGGUUAGGCAUGUGACUGAAUUCUGGCCAAUGAAACAUGAGGUGAUACUUAAUGUGGGGUUCUGAGGGAAGGUUUUCCUGCCUAAUAAGAGAGAGACUUGAGGAGGAACCCUAUGCUGUUGCCAAAGUUAAGAGGCUGUUGUGUGAGGCCUGAUACUUGGAGCUGCUGCAGCCUUUUUGUGACCUUGAGGAAACAAUGUUGAAUAGGAGGAUGUCAGAGAUGUUGAACUACUGAACUAGCCUUGUAAUCAUCUCACUCUGGUCUUAUAAAAAAUAAGGCCUAUUUGUUUAAUCCAGUUGUAGUCAGGUAUUCUGAGUUUAUAACCAAAAGCAUCCUACAACAGUUAAAGGUAUGGGCUUUGAAAUCACACAUACAUAUGUUUGAGUUCCAGAUCUACCAUUAGUAGGCUGUUUGACAUUGCAUAUAAGUUACUGGGUCUUCCUGUACACGUGGGAUAAUAAUAAUCAUACCUCAUAUGUUAACUGUGAGGACUAAAUGGGUUGAUGCAUAGAUAUUGAUAGCAUACAAUACGUAUUCAGUAAAUGUUAUUAUCAUGAUCAUUAUCAAGGAAAGCCUAGGGAGGUGGGCAGAACUGGCACUUGCUCAGGGCAUUGGAUGAGGGUUGGAAACAGCAUCAUCCAGGGGUGCCCAUAGGAGUGAGGGGGCAGCAGUGGCUCCUGGAAGGGGAGAGGUAAAGACCUUGAUUCUGUCUCAGAGCUGUCAGCUCAUCACUCUGCCUGGUCAUUUUUUUUUUUUAAUGUAUCUAAUUUAUUUUAUUUUUGGCUGCAUUGGGUCUUCAUUGCUGCACACGGGCUUUCUCUAGUUGUGGCGAGCAGGGGCUACUCUUCAAUACUGAGCACAUGCUUCUCAUUGUGGUGGCUUCUCUUGUGGAGCAUGGGCUCUAGGCAUGUGGGCUUCAGUAGUUGUGGCUUGCAGACUCUAGAGCACAGGCUCAGUAGUUGUGGCGCACGGGCUUAGUUGCUCCGCGGCAUGUGGGAUCUUCCCGGACCAGGGAUUGAACGUGCGUCCCCUGCACUGGCAGGUGGAUUCUUAACCACUGUGCCACCAGGGAAGUCCCCUGCCUGGUCAUUUUGAAAGUACGAUUGCAGAAAGUGUGGUUCAGGUCAUACACAAGUCAUAUUUGGCCAGCAGAUGAUUUUGUAGGCCCACGCAGUGUUUUUAAAAGUUGUAUUACUUAUUAACGUUUUUAAAAGGCAAGAUUCCAUGUAAAAUCUAGAUCUAUCUCCGAUCUUCUUACAAUGAUUUUUUUUUUUUUUUUUUUUGUGGUACGCGGGCCUCUCACUGCCGUGGCCUCUCCCGUUGCAGAGCACGGGCUCCGGAUGCGCAGGCUCAGCGGCCAUGGCUCACGGGCCCAGCCGCUCUGCAGCAUGUGGGAUCCUCCCGGACCGGGGCACGAACCCGUGUCCCCUGCAUCGGCAGGCGGACUCAACCACUGUGCCACCAGGGAAGCCUCCACAAUGAUAUUUUUAAAAGAAAGCCUCUAUUUGUUUAAUCCACUCAUAGUCAGGUGUUCUGAUUUUGUAAUCAGAAGUAUUCUUGUGGAUAAAGGCAGGGCUUGCAGGUGAGACAUAGCCAGACCUUGGAGAGGGCAGUACAGGCUCUUGCUCUGAUAUUAAACCUCCAGUAUGCAAGUCUGGCUCUAACACGUACUGAACUUGGACACAUCACUUAACUUCUAAGCCUCAGUUUCCUCAUCUUUAAGAUGAGGUUAAUAGGAAUUACCGUCUCAUAGAACUGUGAGGAUUACGUCAAAUAAAGGAUGUACGAUGCCCAGGACGGGUAAGUGAGUUGUAAAUGCUGGCUUAUGAUGGUUAUUCCUCACAGAAUGCAGUUGGCUGUGGCUGGGACGAUCAGGCCUAGGGGUCUUACCUUUUCCUUGCCAAAAGAAACAGAAUGAUUUCAGUUUUCUCUACCAAAGGAAAAGAAUCGUCAGUCUUCUGUGACCUGAGUUGGAGGAGAAAUUUUCAGGCAGUAAGCCGAAGAAUUUCUAAAUUUCUUUCUUUUGGUGAGCCUCCUUCCAAUUUUACUGACGCAAAAAUUUGAGUAACAAGAGGCAUGCCAGCUGUUCGGUGAUGGUGCAAAGUUCUGCUUCUUCCAGCAGAGGCCUCUUGUGCACAGGAAAUGAGGCUGGUGGUGGCUGGAGGGGACCCUGGGCCAGGGCACUGGUUUCCCAGAAGCUCCCCAGAGUAAAGCGGGGAGGGGAGUCUAAGGAAGAGCUUGUGGGGACCGCCCCCCACCCCCCACCCCCGUCCCCUGUCCAGGCUUCAGAGAGCUGGAUGCCAGUGUCCUGGAAUUCUGGAGUCUUUCUUGAAAGAAAGAGACGGGGAGAGAGAAGGAGAGAAAGAAAGAGGGAUGGAUAGAGGGAGAAAGCGGGGAGGAGGGAGAGAGGGAGGAAGGAAGGCAGCGGCUUUGUCUAAGCUCCAGGGCUCAGAGGCAGGGCACCCGUGGGGCUGAUGAUCCCAGGGGUCAGACCUGCAGAGAGACUCUUUCUGCUGUCUGCCUUCCAGUUUAUUUCGUUUCCCUUCAUUGUUGCUACCUGGGCAAAAGGGCAUCUAAAUGAUUUUUAAUCCCAAUUUAACUGCUACGGAGCUAUGAAAACUUGGCACAAAGCCUCCAGCAUAGCUGAUUGAUAGGGGAGAAGUCAGAUGAUCUCUUAAAAGCCACGGUGACGAGCAAGAAGGACUGAAACCGUGAGUUACUGAAACCGUGAGUUACGGCAUGGUUUGCAGAAAGGCCCAAACUUCUGGUGAUGGGGGGAGCGAUGGAGGGUCUUUCCUGGUCCAGCAUGGCCUCUUCUGUCUAAGGCGGUGGCCCUGUGGGUGACUCGCUGGCCACACAUUCUUUCUUGAAGCUUUAAACCUGGAGUCUCUUUGCCUUCCAGAACUAAAACGAACGGUCUCUGGUGCAUUUGCUGUGUGCAUAUGUUGAUCAUCAUUCAAGACGUGCUUUUGGUGAGGGAGGAAAGCAGUCGGGGCCAGAUGGUGACUCUGACCUUCCCAGAUCAACACUGGGAAGGAGACGACGGCUAAGGGCUGCUUUGGCAUCAGGCUGACUUGCCCAGUCGUCCAUGAGCACAUAAAUACUUCCUGAGCAUGUAUGGCCCCGUCUGUGGGAGAGGGAAAUGAUUUUGCCCGUGGUCGUGGCCAUUUACCAUGAUUGCAGGUGACUUUCAGAGGGAGUGGAUGUUUGCACACAAGUUGGAACUCGAAGGAACUUCAGGUUCAAUCUCCAUCCUUUAGCUGACCGGACCAUCACCCCCAGCAAGACCUUAGGAGCCAAGGGUUGGAGGGAGAGUCACUGUCAGCCUGGAUCCCUUCAUGACUAUGUGGAAGAGAGACGCCCUACUCACCCCUGUCCCCUACUGCAAGUGUGGUUUAUUGAAACACAGUUUUUGAACAAGUGAUAUGGGAUAAUGAGUCACCACUCACUGUAGAGCCUGGCAGGUGACAGAUGCUCGAGAAAUCUAGACCGAAUACAUAUCUUCGUUCCUUGAGGGUUGCUGUGAUAUCUUAAUGAAAUAAUCAUUUUGGAGAGAGAUAUCAACAUGGAAAAGCUAAUUGCUGGAGGACUUCAGGUAUGGCUAAAGAAUAACCUGUGGAAUCAGACACACCUGGAUUUGAAUCUGGGCCACUCAAGCUUGCGGGAUCUUAGUUCCCCAACCAGGGAUCGAACCCGGGCCUCCUGCAGUGGAAGCACCGAGUCCUAACCACAGGACAGCCAGGGAAGUCCUAAUGAGCCUUCUUUUUUUUUUUUUU